UGCUAUACAUGCAAGUCGAACGAGUUCUGAUUAUUGAAAGGUGCUUGCAUCUUGAUUUAAUUUUGAACGAGUGGCGGACGGGUGAGUAACACGUGGGUAACCUGCCCUUAAGUGGGGGAUAACAUUUGGAAACAGAUGCUAAUACCGCAUAAAUCCAAGAACCGCAUGGUUCUUGGCUGAAAGAUGGCGUAAGCUAUCGCUUUUGGAUGGACCCGCGGCGUAUUAGCUAGUUGGUGAGGUAACGGCUCACCAAGGCAAUGAUACGUAGCCGAACUGAGAGGUUGAUCGGCCACAUUGGGACUGAGACACGGCCCAAACUCCUACGGGAGGCAGCAGUAGGGAAUCUUCCACAAUGGACGCAAGUCUGAUGGAGCAACGCCGCGUGAGUGAAGAAGGCUUUCGGGUCGUAAAACUCUGUUGUUGGAGAAGAAUGGUCGGCAGAAUAACUGUUGUCGGGCGUGACGGUAUCCAACCAGAAAGCCACGGCUAACUACGUGCCAGCAGCCGCGGUAAUACGUAGGUGGCAAGCGUUAUCCGGAUUUAUUGGGCGUAAAGCGAGCGCAGGCGGUUUUUUAAGUCUGAUGUGAAAGCCCUCGGCUUAACCGAGGAAGUGCAUCGGAAACUGGGAAACUUGAGUGCAGAAGAAGACAGUGGAACUCCAUGUGUAGCGGUGAAAUGCGUAGAUAUAUGGAAGAACACCAGUGGCGAAGGCGGCUGUCUGGUCUGUAACUGACGCUGAAGCUCGAAAGCAUGGGUAGCGAACAGGAUUAGAUACCCUGGUAGUCCAUGCCGUAAACGAUGAAUGCUAGGUGUUGGAAGGUUUCCGCCCUUCAGUGCCGCAGCUAACGCAUUAAGCAUUGGUCUUGGAUUUAGUUGGGCACUCUAGUAAGACUGCCGGUUAUGACCUGGGCUACACACGUGCUACAAUGGA
rnacentral:rRNA from 2 species